UUGCCUUGUUUUUUCGAAUUCAAUUGUAUUUCAUUUCAUGUAUAACAUUUGAUUAUCAAGAUUUAAGAUAAUUAAUAUACAUUUUGUAGCAUUUCGUUUUAGGUAUUCGAGAACGCAUGAACGUGCAUUUACGCAGUGGCGAGUAUGCUUGAUGAAUCACUCUGUACAUAAUGUAUGACAUAAUAAUGUGCAUAACUCACUGCAGACACUUCGAAGUUG